rnacentral:tRNA from 1 species
GAGGGUUUAGCUCAGCAGGAUAGUGCUUGCCUAGCAGGCAUGAGGCCCUGGGUUUGAUGCCCAGAACCCCA